CAAUAGCGUAUAUUAAAGUUGUUGCAGUUAGAACGCUCGUAGUCGGAUUUCGGGGCGGGCCGACCGGUCUGCCGAUGGGUACGCACUGGUCGGCGCGUCCUUCCUUCCGGAGACCGUGCCUACUCUUAACUGAGCGGGGGCGGGAGACGGAUCGUUUACUUUGAAAAAAUCAGAGUGUUUCAAGCAGGCAGCUCGCUCUUGCAUGGAUUAGCAUGGGAUAAUGAAAUAGGACUUUGGUGCUAUUUUGUUGGUUUCGAACACCGAAGUAAUGAUUAACAGGGACAGUCAGGGGCACUCGUAUUCCGCCGAGAGAGGUGAAAUUCUUAGACCAGCGGAAGACGAACUACUGCGAAAGCAUUUGCCAGGGAUGUUUNCACUG
rnacentral:rRNA from 1 species